UACGUAGGGGGCAAGCGUUGUCCGGAUUUAUUGGGCGUAAAAGGCUUGUAGGUGGCCACGCCAAGUCGGAUGUGAAAUCUCCCGGCUCAACUGGGAGGGGUCAUUCGAUACUGGCGGGCUCGAGGCCGGUAGGGGGAAGUGGAAUUCCUGGUGUAGCGGUGAAAUGCGCAGAUAUCAGGAGGAACACCGGUGGCGAAGGCGGAUCUCUGGGCCUGUUCUGACGCUGAGGCGCGAAAGCUAGGGGAGCGAACAGG
rnacentral:rRNA from 1 species